rnacentral:rRNA from 1 species
GGCACUACGGUGCUGAAGCAACAAAUGCCCUGCUUCCAGGAAAAGCCUCUAAGCAUCAGGUAACAUCAAAUCGUACCCCAAACCGACACAGGUGGUCAGGUAGAGAAUACCAAGGCGCUUGAGAGAACUCGGGUGAAGGAACUAGGCAAAAUGGUGCCGUAACUUCGGGAGAAGGCACGCUGAUAUGUAGGUGAAGCGACUUGCUCGUGGAGCUGAAAUCAGUCGAAGAUACCAGCUGGCUGCAACUGUUUAUUAAAAACACAGCACUGUGCAAACACGAAAGUGGACGUAUACGGUGUGACGCCUGCCCGGUGCCGGAAGGUUAAUUGAUGGGGUUAGCGGUAA